GUGCGAGCGAGAGGGAGAGCCCAGCGCCGAAUCCCAAAGGCUACGCCUUUCGGGAAAUGUGGUGUUUAGGAGGGUCCGACUCCCCGGAGUCCGUUCACCGAGUCCAAGUCCAUCUUGAACGGGGCCACGGUCCGUAGAGGGUGCCAGGCCCGUAGGGACCGGUGACGAUUCCGGGUGGACCUCUCCUUAGAGUCAGGUUGCUUGAGAGUGCAGCCCUAAGCGGGUGGUAAACUCCAUCUAAGGCUAAAUACGACCACGAGACCGAUAGCGAACAAGUACCGUGAGGGAAAGUUGAAAAGAACUUUGAAGAGAGAGUUCAAGAGUACGUGAAACCGUUCAGGGGUAAACGGAAAAGACCCGAAAUUCCGAAAGGGGAGAUUCACGUCCACUCGCUGGACCGCCGACUCAGUCCGCGGGAUGGCCUUCCAACCCCGCCCGGCGCGAGCCGUGGCGGCGGAGUCGGUCGCCCGUGACGGGGUCGUGCGUCCGCGGAGGACCGCACUUCUCUCUCAGUAGGACGUCGCGACCUGUUCGUCCGCGGCCUGAGGCCCGGUGGAAAGUCCGAUCGGGGGAUGCGCUCACGCGUGGAACCCUUUCGGGCCACCGGUGACCCGGCCGAAGGGCGGACAGUAUCGUACGACGGUGUCGAACCGCUCUCCGGAGCGUCCUCUUGCCGGUCGCAAGUCUUCGAGCGAGCGCGUCACGGCGGACCACGGUCCGGCUGACCCUCCUCGAGUCUGUUGGUGACCGCGACAUUGGGACAGCGUUCACCGCACCAGUCGGCGGCGCUCCAGUUUCGGGUACUUGUCCGACCCGUCUUGAAACACGGACCAAGAAGUCUAACAUGUGCGCGAGUCAUUGGGCUUGAACCCCAAAGGCGGAAUGAAAGUGAAGGAAGCUUCGCUUUCCAAGGGAGGACGGACGUGUCUGCCGUCAAGGCGGCGUCCCGCACUCCCGGGGCGUCUCUUUCUCAUUGCGAGUGGAGGCGCACCCAGAGCGUACACGUUAGGACCCGAAAGAUGGUGAACUAUGCCUGGUCAGGACGAAGCCAGGGGAAACCCUGGUGGAGGUCCGUAGCGAUUCUGACGUGCAAAUCGAUCGUCAGAGCUGGGUAUAGGGGCGAAAGACUAAUCGAACCAUCUAGUAGCUGGUUCCCUCCGAAGUUUCCCUCAGGAUAGCUGGUGCCCGUGUGAGACGAGUCUCAUCCGGUAAAGCGAAUGAUUAGAGGCCUUGGGGCCGAAACGACCUCAACCUAUUCUCAAACUUUAAAUAGAUGAGAACUCCGGCUUGCUUGAAAGUGAAGCCGGAGACUCGGAUCAGGGUGCCCAGUGGGCCAAUUUUGGUAAGCAGAACUGGCGCUGUGGGAUGAACCAAACGCAGAGUUAAGGCGCCCGAAUCGACGCUCAUUGGAACCCAUGAAAGGCGUUGGUUGCUUAAGACAGCAGGACGGUGGCCAUGGAAGUCGGAAUCCGCUAAGGAGUGUGUAAAAACUCACCUGCCGAAGCAACUAGCCCUGAAAAUGGAUGGCGCUGUAGCGUCGUGCCUAUACUCUGCCGUCAACGGCAAAUCGGGCGGCCCCUUAACCGGGGCGGCGCCGUUAAGCCUUGACGAGUAGGAGGGCCGCGGCGAUGUGCGCAGAAGGGUCUGGGCGUGAGCCUGCCUGGAGCCGUCGCCGGUGCAGAUCUUGGUGGUAGUAGCAAAUACUCCAGCGAGGCCCUGGAGGACUGAUGUGGAGAAGGGUUUCUUGUGAACAGCUGUUGCACAAGAGUCAGUCGAUCCUAAGCCCUAGGAGAAAUCCGAUGUCGAUGAGCCGCCGUUAGAAUCCGCCUGACCCCGCGGGGACACAAGAUCGACCGGGACCGAUGCGCCCGCCGGCGGAAGCCGGCCGCGGCGGCGGUCUCUGUGUCGGUCGGCUCUCCGCGAGUGAUUGUCUUCCGGGUUGGCGCUCGUCGGGCGAAAGGGAAUCCGGUUCCUAUUCCGGAACCCGGCAGCGGAACCGUUCCAAAUCGGGCCCUCGCACGAGAGCUCGUCGGGGUGACCCAAAAGGACCCGGAGACGCCGUCGGGAGAUCCGGGGAGAGUUGUCUCUUCUCUAUAAGCGUUCGAGUUCCCUGGAAACCUCUAGCAGGGAGAUAGGGUUUGGAACGCGAAAAGCACCGCAGUUACGGCGGUGUCCGGAUCUUCCCCACGGACCUUGAAAAUCCGGGAGAGGGCCACGAGGAACCCCGCGCCGGCUCGUACCCAUAUCCGCAGCAGGUCUCCAAGGUGAAUAGCCUCUAGUCGAUAGAAUAAUGUAGGUAAGGGAAGUCGGCAAAUUGGAUCCGUAACUUCGGGAUAAGGAUUGGCUCUGAGGAUCGUGGCGCGCCGGGCUUGGUCGGGAAGUGGAGCGGUGUCAACGUGCCGGGCCUGGGCGAGGUGAGCGGCGCUCCGGCGCCGGGAUCCGAGCUCGGUCCCGUGCCUUGGCCACCCACGGAUCUUCCUUGCUGCGAGCCGUCGGCCGU
rnacentral:rRNA from 1 species